GGCCCUUCGGGGUACUCGAGUGGCGAACGGGUGAGUAACACGUGGGUGAUCUGCCCUGCACUUUGGGAUAAGCCUGGGAAACUGGGUCUAAUACCGAAUAUGACCACGCGCUUCAUGGUGUGUGGUGGAAAGCUUUUGCGGUGUGGGAUGGGCCCGCGGCCUAUCAGCUUGUUGGUGGGGUAAUGGCCUACCAAGGCGACGACGGGUAGCCGGCCUGAGAGGGUGACCGGCCACACUGGGACUGAGAUACGGCCCAGACUCCUACGGGAGGCAGCAGUGGGGAAUAUUGCACAAUGGGCGCAAGCCUGAUGCAGCGACGCCGCGUGAGGGAUGACGGCCUUCGGGUUGUAAACCUCUUUCAAUAGGGACGAAGCGCAAGUGACGGUACCUAUAGAAGAAGGACCGGCCAACUACGUGCCAGCAGCCGCGGUAAUACGUAGGGUCCGAGCGUUGUCCGGAAUUACUGGGCGUAAAGAGCUCGUAGGUGGUUUGUCGCGUUGUUCGUGAAAACUCACAGCUUAACUGUGGGCGUGCGGGCGAUACGGGCAGACUAGAGUACUGCAGGGGAGACUGGAAUUCCUGGUGUAGCGGUGGAAUGCGCAGAUAUCAGGAGGAACACCGGUGGCGAAGGCGGGUCUCUGGGCAGU
rnacentral:rRNA from 1 species